CACACAUGCAGGUCGCUACCGGAAGAAAUUCCAGGUGUUGGUAAACAUCUGUCAUCUCCCCGAACAUACGGUACAUAUAAUGGCGGUAAUAGAAGGAAGUGUGACGUCACUUGGUAUACAGAUCGUUUACGUCAUAGUGGGCGUGUUCUGUGUGGUGAAGGCCUUGACCCUAUUGGGGAGUUAUAGAAAAAUGAAAAAGCGUUACGACGAAAUCCCAGGAUUCGAAAAGAAAGAUUAUCACUGGUUGACGGGAAAUAUACAUAAAUUUCCAAAGGAGACAGAAAAAAGGCUGGAACUACACAGAAGUCUUAUGAUAAACAACCCCCGUGUGUGUAGGAUGUGGCUGGGGCCUUUUGUGGCCAACAUCUUCGUUCAUCACCCAGAUUCAAUCAAACGUAUUCUAAAGUCAUCAGGUAAGCUAUAUU